rnacentral:rRNA from 1 species
UCCCGCCUACGGGGGGCAGCAGUGAGGAAUAUUGGUCAAUGGGCGGAAGCCUGAACCAGCCAAGUCGCGUGAGGGAAGAAGGCCCUGCGGGUCGCAGACCUCUUUGGACGGGGAGCAAGGCCGCCGACGUGUCGGCGGAAGGAGAGUACCCGUAGAACAAGCAUCGGCUAACUCCGUGCCAGCAGCCGCGGUAAUACGGAGGAUGCGAGCGUUAUCCGGAUUUACUGGGCGUAAAGGGAGCGUAGGCGGACUUUUAAGUGAGAUGUGAAAUACUCGGGCUCAACUUGAGUGCUGCAUUUCAAACC